rnacentral:rRNA from 1 species
AGUGAACGCUGGCGGUAGGCCUAACACAUGCAAGUCGAACGGCAGCACAGUAAGAGCUUGCUCUUACGGGUGGCGAGUGGCGGACGGGUGAGGAAUACAUCGGAAUCUACUUUUUCGUGGGGGAUAACGUAGGGAAACUUACGCUAAUACCGUAUACGACCUACGGGUGAAAGCAGGGGAUCUUCGGACCUUGCGCGAUUGAAUGAGCCGAUGUCGGAUUAGCUAGUUGGCGGGGUAAAGGCCCACCAAGGCGACGAUCCGUAGCUGGUCUGAGAGGAUGAUCAGCCACACUGGAACUGAGACACGGUCCAGACUCCUACGGGAGGCAGCAGUGGGGAAUAUUGGACAAUGGGCGCAAGCCUGAUCCAGCCAUACCGCGUGGGUGAAGAAGGCCUUCGGGUUGUAAAGCCCUUUUGUUUGGAAAGAAAAGCAGCAGGUUAAUACCCCGCUGUUCUGACGGUACCCAAAGAAUAAGCACCGGCUAACUUCGUG